rnacentral:rRNA from 1 species
GACGAACGCUGGCGGCGUGCCUAAUACAUGCAAGUUGAGCGCUGAAGGUUGGUACUUGUACCGACUGGAUGAGCAGCGAACGGGUGAGUAACGCGUGGGGAAUCUGCCUUUGAGCGGGGGACAACAUUUGGAAACGAAUGCUAAUACCGCAUAAAAACUUUAAACACAAGUUUUAAGUUUGAAAGAUGCAAUUGCAUCACUCAAAGAUGAUCCCGCGUUGUAUUAGCUAGUUGGUGAGGUAAAGGCUCACCAAGGCGAUGAUACAUAGCCGACCUGAGAGGGUGAUCGGCCACAUUGGGACUGAGACACGGCCCAAACUCCUACGGGAGGCAGCAGUAGGGAAUCUUCGGAAAUGGACGAAAGUCUGACCGAGCAACGCCGCGUGAGUGAAGAAGGUUUUCGGAUCGUAAAACUCUGUUGGUAGAGAAGAACGUUGGUGAGAGUGGAAAGCUCAUCAAGUGACGGUAACUACCCAGAAAGGGACGGCUAACUACGUG